ensembl:lncRNA
UGAGGCUCUGGCUUGAUGAAAAAGAAUAUGAAAAGUAUUCACUCAUAAAUCGUCCUGUAUAGGGAGUUCAUUCCAAGUGCCCAAAACCAGUAUGAUAAUUUUGGUGAGGAAGUUUAAUAAGGCUUAAUAGUAAUCUCUAAAAGAAAAACCAUUAUGCAAACAGUUCGUAUAAGAAGGAAUUACGAUGCCUAGCUCGGGCUUUGGACAACUGCCAAUAUAUUGUUUUUUUCUGGUAGCUGUUUACAGAGAGCACAGUGUGCACAUGCCUCAAGUCAGGACAAAAUUGAUGGGCUGACCGAUUCGCCCGUAAUUUCUAUACGCAAAGUUGGGGGUGGGAAGGUGGAACAGACUCACCUCUGGGAAGGCGAUGCCUCGAGCUCCCUGUGUGCCGUAGCCGUGGCCUGAUGUGCCACCAAAGCCAGGGAGCAUAGAGAGAGGAUCAGAGGAGAAAGCUGACGCAGGCUCCACUGCAUUGUUUUUUCCAUAUGUAAAUGUUUGCUAUAGAUUAGCUGCAAAGAAAAGCUUUAGGCUUCGGGACUGCUAGAAGGAGGACGGAGCCCACCUGGCUCCAAAAUGCUGUGGUAAAUCAUUGACGACGGCCCAGAUCAAAUCACAAAGAAUCAGGACACAUCCCGGAGGCCUUUGACCUUUUGGAAACAAAUUCCCGGUUUUCUGGCAAGGGAAUAUAUUAAACUGUGCAACUGUUUCCACAUUAAAGUCAAUCAAGUCCUAUUGCAGCAGUGUAUUUCAUGUCCAGCCUGCUCUCUCCUUUUAAUUUGAAGGAGGAGAAAACUCAUUUUAUUUCCCAUAGUGACUUAACUGCAAUUUUGGUGCAUCUGGGCACUUACCAGGGAAAAGCUUCCCAGUACAGCAAAUUAAAGAUUAUUACAAACUUCUGUUAUGAGGAACUUGUACCUCCCAGAUACGUCAAGGAAAUGUCAGUUCAGCCUCUUCCCACUGCCAUCCCCAUGAGUCAGUGUCCCAUCUCCAAAGCUGAGGAAGGUGUGACUGACAUCAGAGCUCUACGAGCAAAAUUUCAAAAUGACUCUAACUUGGCCAACAAGCUGGUGCAGCCACGCAAGAAGCUUCCUCCUAAGAUUGCACCCAAGCCGGGCUCUAGAGGAAACGUUGUGUCCAGCCCUCUGCCUCUGAGUAAGAGAGAAGUGAUAACACCAAAACCCAAGGAUGAACCUGUCCAUCCUGCCUCCCAACCCUCUGCACUCACCCAAUGCAACCCCUUGGCAUGGCCUCGAGCCAAGCUGGGUUACAUGGAGCCAACGGAGCACAAUGAAGAGCAGAAAGGCAACAACUCGGAGAAAGGGCUGAGUUCUCCCAAGAGUGGUCCAGAGAAGCCUCUGCCAUCCUAUUGCAUUGAUUGGCAAGGAUCAGCCCAAACAGCCCCAGAGGAUCCUUCGCCCCCAAAUUCUUUCCAGCAUGCCCUAAAGAUCUGGGAAAAUGCUUUAUCCUGUGGCGAGAAAGCAAAUUUAAUACUCCCAACCCAACGGGCAACAAACUUGUAUGUGCACCCUUGCCCGGAGCAGAGGGCGAUGCGUGCUCCAACUGCGUCGGGUGGCAGGACUCAACCCUCUGGAAGCAAGCCCAUGCUGGACUUGCCUGCCCAGAAGAAGGAUGCUCUGCAUGGCCAUGGGCUGUCUCUUCCUCAGGCAUCCAGAGGACACAGAGGCUCUGAUGGAGCUGCUCCUGAGAUCGCGGUGGCAACUGCAUUCUGCCAGCUGGGUUAUGUCCCACCAAGAAAGCAACCUCAGCACCAGAAAGAAUCGGAGCCUCCCUUCUGCCAGCCUGGAGCAGGAAAUUGGUCUUACAGCCCCGGCAGCAAGUGGCCAAGAGUUAAACUUCUCCCUUCAGUUGAAUCCCUGGGUCCAGCCCCUGAGAAGCCAGCAAGACCCCCAAAGUUUGAUCUCAGUGCCUUCCGAAGCACCAUGCUUUCAGUCCACAGAGGAAAUGAAACAACUGCUGAUGAAGAGGAUUACUUGACUCCUGAAAGUGCUCAACUUGAAGAGCAGCAUAAUUAUGAAGAAACCUCAGUGUACCUGAAUCAGCCUGGGGACGCCAAAACCUUGUGUGUCAUUGAAGUACCGAAGGAAGAGCCUGAAGAAUACAAGAAACAGAAGACUUUUUUCUUUGCCAAAUCCAGGUAAUUUCCUUUCCUUUCUCUCAAGCUUCUUCUAACCCCACAAGCAACCCAGGUUAGGGCUAGAAUAUUGUAACACUCAGUAAAUAGAAAGAAAUUUCAUAUAUUUCACGACCAGGACAAUAUUUCACGACCAGGACAAUGUAGACAAUGAUGCUCUUCUGUGUCAGCACUCAUGGUUUCUAAGAUUAUUUUCAUUCUAAAGCAUAUCUGGAGGGGAGAUUUUCUUCUCUCCUCUGGCACACAAAAAAUACAUUGUUGUUUCCCAUUGAAACCUGAACUCUCUCAGUAUAAGAAGGGAGAGGUGUGAGGCUCUCGUGCUGGGAAAUGGAGUUCCAGGUCCAAAGCUGUGGUAAAGGCAAGGUCCUCCCUGAAUUUCGUACUAUAAAUGUCACAUUUCAAACUCCUUGCAGUAUAUAAUUACUGUCACUGGCUGAAGGCUGGUUUUUUGAUGGGGGUGGAAGAAUCAUGUGAUAAAAGAGGGUCAUCUCAAUGGGAAAUGGCUGUGAUGCUGGAAAAAAGGUUUCAUGUUCUACCUCCCGUUGCUGUAUCUUCUUCCCUAAAUUGCAAUAUAGUGUGGUGAGAGGCAUGUCUUCUGAGCCAGGUACCACCACUGGCAAAUGGAUCCAGCUUGUCCAUUCCUGCUACUAGAAAACAAUCAUCUUAGUUUUUCUCUUUUCUGAGGGUGAUUGUUAUUACCCAUAUAACCAGUGGCCUUUAGAUUUGGAAUUGCCCUUACUUUUAGUACUGGCGGUCUUUUUGGCAUCUACCUCAUUCAGAUGGAAAAUGAGCUGCUUAUUUGAGCACAAUCAUAAAGCAAUAUGUCUGUCUGUGACUUUGCUAAAGUGUGUCUGUUCUGAGAUGUCUCUCAUUUCUGACAUUUUCAGUCCUGGAAGAACUAUAAUAGAGGAUGAAAAAGAGGAAAAAACAAGUCUUGAAAGAGAGAAACAUGAAGGAAAAAAAUUUUUUGAAGUAUGGUAUCCUUGAGAUUACUUUUAAUAAUUAAC